CUUUUGAAAAUGCCAGCUGAUACUAUUAAUGGGAAAAGAAAUCAAUUCGAUUACAGGCCUUAAAGACUAAUGACCCUACAACUAGCCAUCCCUAAUUGAUCACCAAAACGAUGCUUUGAAACUCACAAAAACAAAACAAAAAGUAAUGGAAAGCACAUAGAACAGACACAAACUUGGAAAUGAAACCAAACAAACUCAAACUUAACAAAGAGAAAAGCCAGGCUUGGAAUCCCAUUCUUCUCUAGCAUUUUAAGCAACAUCUUUUGUGCAUCAGCAACUCAAGAGACCGAUUAUCCAUGAACAACCAAUUUCUGACCUUUCAAGCCCCAAUCUCUAUCAAAAUCCUCGAGUUCAUCGGACAGACCAAUCGUCACAAAGUCCGGACUCAACUAAACCAGUCAUCCACCAUCAUCUCCGCCACUCCUAUCGCAGUUUACCAGUUCUUCCACCUCACGCGGUACUUCCUCUAUCUAGUAUUGGGGUCAUCAUAUCUCCGUCCUUCCAUCGCCAUCCCAUGUGCCACUUUAUUGGCUUCCCUCGAGUUUAGUUUUUUGAUUACAGUUAGCGCGUCUCCCUCAACACAUAUAUCUCGAAAACCCAUUUCGACGGCCAUAGUAACAGCCUGCAAACACGCCCUUGCCUCGGCCAUAAUCGGAUCUGAAAUAUUCUUUCAUGGGUAAGUACACGAUGCCAUCACUAAUCCUUCUUUAUUCCACGCAAUGACUCGUGAACAUGAUCUUCGAGAAUGUUGAUUAAAAGAAGCAUCAAAAUUAAUUUUUAUAACAUCAUCAACAGGUGGUUCCCACACAAAUCUUUUAGUCUCUUGCCUAUUCUUCAAUAUCUCACCCAUUUGCGUUAUUUCGGAAUAAUAAGCAUUGAUAAACCUCACAAUUUCAUGUGCUUGCUCCCUUAUCCCUUCAUGGUAAAUUUUGUUGCGAAUGUACCAAAGAGCCCAGAAAGAAAUAGCUCUGAUUUUGCAUGCUUCAUUACUAUAGUUCUCAACUCUAAUGCUAACCAUUUUUUCCAAUUGGAUUCUCUGUUGGUAGUUGAGUUAGUCACCCCCAACUCCUGCUGUACCUGUUGAGUAAAAGUGCAAUCCCGAAAAAAGUGGCUCACCGUUUCCUCUUUUGCUCGGCAUAUUGGACAGAGCGUAUCCACCACAAGCUUAUGGGCUCUCAAUUUUGCAUCGUGGGCACAAAUUCAUUAGCAACCCUCCACAUAUGUAUACGAAUCUUGCUUGGUACAUUAAGAAACUGAGAUAGAAAUUCAUGUUGUAUCAUAGAAUCCUCAACUGUAAUUAGCCAUUUAUAUCCACUUUUGACUGUAUAAAUCCUUGUAUUAUUGCCUCUUCAAAUUAACGCAUCAUGUGGUUCACUGCUAGCCAAUGGGAUCAAAAGAAUUCUCUUCAGCUGCUCCUCUCCAAAUGAUAAACAAAUAGCAUCUUGCUUCCAGGAGAAUAUUUGAGAGCAAAAGGAGCGAUAAACGAGUGAAAACGGAAAAGUCAGAGCAAGUUUCAAGAGCUACACAGGCUGGACCAUUCCACACGGUUGUGUGAGCCACACGGAUUGCCACACGGCUAUGUGCCGGAUUGUGUGGAAAUCACAAAUUGCACUCAAAAUACGAGGAAGAACACAUUUUUUAGAUUUUUCGAGUAUUCUAAGACCUAUAUAUGACAAAUAUAAGAAGAGCGAAGUAAGUCGUCAGAGAAUAUUUAAGAAAACAACUUAAAAAACACCAUUGAAGCUGACUUUGAAGUAGAUUUUCAUAAAGAUUGAAGAUCUCCUUUUGAUUUCUUUGAAGUUUAUUAUGAGUUUCUUUAUUUUUUGUGUUUAUAUUGUCUUUGAGAUGUUUUUAUUUGCGAUUAUGAACUAAUUUUCCAAAUACUUGCGGAGAUGAACCCUAGGAUAAAUUCUGUUAUUUGAUUUUUAUUUUUAUGUAAUAAAUACUUGGACUUGUUCUCAAUUAUGUCUGCUUAAUUCUUGGUUUAA